ACUCAAAUGAAUUGACGGGGGCCCGCACAAGCGGUGGAUUAUGUGGUUUAAUUCGAAGCAACGCGCAGAACCUUACCUGGGCUUGAACUCCCACGAACCUGGCAGAGAUGUUGGGGUGCCCUUCGGGGAAUGUGGUGAGAGGUGCUGCAUGGCUGUCGUCAGCUCGUGUCGUGAGAUGUUGGGUUAAGUCUCGCAACGAGCGCAACCCCUAUCGUUAGUUGCCAGCAUUAAGUUGGGCACUCUAGUGAGACUGCCUGGGUUAACCAGGAGGAAGGUGGGGAUGACGUCAAGUCCUCAUGGCCCUUAUGUCCAGGGCUACACACGUAAUACAAUGGUGCAUACAAAGGGAAGCGAACUCGCGAGGGGGAGCUAAUCUCAAAAAGUGCAUCUCAGUCCGGAUUGGAGUCUGCAACUCGACUCCAUGAAGUUGGAAUCGCUAGUAAUCGCGGAUCAGCACGCCGCGGUGAAUACGUUCCCGGGCCUUGUACACACCGCCCGU
rnacentral:rRNA from 1 species